rnacentral:rRNA from 1 species
CACGUAGGGUGCGAGCGUUGUCCGGAAUUAUUGGGCGUAAAGAGCUCGUAGGCGGUGUGUCGCGUCGGCCGUGAAAACCUGCAGCUUAACUGUGGGCUUGCGGUCGAUACGGGCAUCACUGGAGUUCGGCAGGGGAGACUGGAAUUCCUGGUGUAGCGGUGAAAUGCGCAGAUAUCAGGAGGGAACACCGGUGGGCGAAGGCGGGUCUCUGGGACGGUA